UACGGGGGGGGCAAGCGUUGUUCGGAAUUACUGGGCGUAAAGGGCCAGUAGGCGGCCAACUAAGUCGGAUGUGAAAUCCCCAGGCUCAACUUGGGAACUGCAUCCGAAUACUGGAUGGCUUGAAUUCGGGAGAGGGAUGCAGAAUUCCAGGUGUAGCGGUGAAAUGCGUAGAGUAUCUGGAGGAACACCUGUGGCGAAGGCGGCCCCCUGGGCCGGCCCUGAC
rnacentral:rRNA from 1 species